rnacentral:misc_RNA from 1 species
AAAGUCGUAACAAGGUUUCCGUAGGUGAACCUGCGGAAGGAUCAUUAAAUGAAGCAACCUAGGAGCCUGAGACAUGGCUACCAGGCACACCUUCCACCCUUUGUUUAUCACACUCUGUUGCUUUGGCAGGCCUGCCUCUGGGCUGCUGGCUCCGGCCAGCGAGUGCCUGCCAGAGGACCUAAACUCUGUUUGUCUGUAAUGUCUGAGUACUAUAUAAUAGUUAAAACUUUCAACAACGGAUCUCUUGGUUCUG